UACGGAGGAUGCAAGCGUUAUCCGGAAUGAUUGGGCGUAAAGCGUCCGCAGGUGGCUAUGUAAGUCUGCUGUUAAAGAGUGAGGCUCAACCUCAUAAGAGCAGUGGAAACUACAUGGCUAGAGUGCGUUCGGGGCAGAGGGAAGUUCCUGGUGUAGCGGUGAAAUGGCGUAGAUAUCUGGAGGAAUACCGGUGGCGAAGGCGGCAUCCUGGACCGACAUUGACGCUGAGGAGCGAAAGCUAGGGGAGCGAACGGG
rnacentral:rRNA from 1 species